CCUCCUCAUGAUGUUGUCUCCGGCCUGUUAUAUCAAAGCUGUUUCCUUUCAUACACCUUCUUCACUGAUUUCUCCUUAAAAUGUUCUGCAAACGUGACGUCAGGAGACAGAUGCUUGUCGCUAAAGCAGGUCAACGGCAGCAAAACAUCUGCAGCAGCAAUCCAGAGGAACCUGCAGCAUGAAGGAGCUCAGGGACUCCCAGAAAAGACUGGAUUAGUGACUCUGAUGAGGGUUGAAGGUAACAGUGAAUGAGCUGCUGUAAAACAUCUGUAGAUCUGUGAGAAACACGGUCGUAUACACUAAAGUCCAGAUCAAGUCUUUAUCAGCUGUGACACUUUCUGUCCGACAUGCAGGUCGGAGCAGAAACCAGGAAGAAAAUCCAGACAUGAAAUAUUCAUACGGCGCACACAACAGGCCGGCUGUUUGUCGGAGCAGCUCGGUCUCUCACACACUGGAUCCUUCUGAGGGAGCAGCUGAUGCUGACGAGUCCUGAAUAUGGAUGAGAGGACGUGAAAUGAUGUGUUGUGUCAUAAAAUCUCACUGUGCUGUGAAACUCAGUCACUCAACAAUGAUGGUGUGUUUCAGCACAUUCCUCACCGCUGCACAGAGUUUAUUUCUCGACCAAAAACCUUUUUAACUCGUGUGAAACUAAACUGAGUUUACCGUUUCCUCCAGUUCAGAGCAGUUUAGAGCUGUUUGUGCAGGAUACAAGUAUCUGAAGAGCCUCCAGUAUCGAAUGGUGAGUAGAAAAGUGCAGCAAUAUCCCCUCCACAAAAACAGACUGGUUUCUUUUUUCUUAAAAUCGCACAAAUCUGUAGAAUUAAUCAUGAUCGUUUGCAGCAUCGCCUGUUUCUGAGGGAGAAAUAACAGCUUUCAACAGUCCGUUAAAUCCUGACAAAAUCACAAAGUCUAUAGAUAAAAAAAAAGAAAGUCAUUUUUUCCAGUUUAAUCCUCUGUAAGAGUUUCCUGAGGCACUUUUAACAUUUUAUGUAAUAAAAGAGUUUUCAGGGAGAACUCUGACGGAUCAGAUUCUUUGGAGGAGCAGAUAAUUCAUUUUGAAAAAGGAGUAAAAGAGAGACUUUAUCAGGUUUCACCGAACAAGGAAGAAAGAAAGAAAGAAAGAAAGAAAGAAAGAAAGAAAGAAAGAAAGAAAAAAGAAAGAAAGAAAGAAAAGAGAGAUUUAACCGUGUUUAAAAAAAGAAGGAAGGGAGCCAGAGGGAGAAAGGAAGAAAGAAAGAAAAACAAGAAAGACAGAAAGAGAAAAAAGAAAGAUUUAAUCCUGUUUAACUGAUGAAGGAAAAAAGAAAAUAAACCCAAAGAAGAAAAGAAAGAAAGAAGAAAGAAAAAACUGAUUGAUAAAACAAAAAGAAAAGACAAGACAGUAAAGGAACUGAAAGAAAAUGAUGAAAAACAAAACAAAGACAGGCAGGAAGAAAGAAAGAAACAAAGAAAAAGAAGACAGCAAGAAAAAAGAGUCAGAGAAAAGAGAAGGAAGGAGGAAAGGAAAGGAAUCAGAGAAAGAGAGCAAAAGAGAAAAAAAAGAAAAAAUGAAUGAGAAAAGAAAAAAAUAAAGAGAAAAAAGAAGACAUCAUAUUUUUUCUUGUUCUCAUGAAUUUCUCACAUUUCCUGUCCCUAAUAAUCUUGUUUAUCAUUGAAACGUUGAUUAAAGCAGAUUCUGCGUUUUUAUUGGAUCAUUUUUUCAUUUAAACUUAUUUUGUGUUUAAACUUUUCACUCCUGAUACUUUUGAUACAUGUCUGUGUGUUUUUUCAUCAUAUGGAGCGCGCUGUGAUGAAAUUAGAAUAAUCUUAUCCUGUGGUUGUGUUGGUGCAGAUCUCUCUCUCUCUCUCUCUCUCUCUCUCUCUCUCUCUCUCUCUCUCUCUCUCUCUCUCUCUGAUCUCUCUCUGAUUUUGUGUGAAAUCAGACGCAGCAGGA